ensembl:ncRNA R11G1.8 ncRNA
GCAAGUUUUAAGAGUAGGUCAAGUGAGUUAUUGGAGGUAGACUGAGUGGUCAGAAGCAAGGUCCACCACAAAACGGAAGAGCAUAAAAGGCGCACCUCUGUGGGAGGAAAGGCAAGCGCCCGUGCGGUCAUCAAUUCUUUUGCUGCCCACUUACCAAAAACUAUACUUUUUUUGCCGAAUACCACAUAUGUGUUAUCUUUCCUUUGUUAAUCAUGCUCA